rnacentral:rRNA from 1 species
AUUGAACGCUGGCGGCAGGCCUAACACAUGCAAGUCGAGCGAGCGGGGGACGGGUGAGUGAUAUGUGGGAAACAGCGUGAUGGAGGGGGAGAAAAACUGGAAACGGUAGCUAAAAUCGCAUACCAUAAGAGGUGCCCAGAUGGGAGUAGCGAGUGUGGGGGGUAACGGCUCACUUAGGCGACGAUCCCUCGCUGGGUUGAGAGGGUGACCAGCCACACUGGAACUGAGCCACGGUCGAGACUCCUACGGGAGGCAGCAGUGGUGAUUAUUGCACAAUGGGCGCACGCCUGAUGCAGCCAUGCCGCGUGUGUGAAGAAGGCCUGCGGGUUUUAAAGCACUUUCAGCGGGGAGGCGUUACCCGCAGAAGAAGCACCGGCUAACUCCGUGCCAGCAGCCGCGGUAAUAC